rnacentral:lncRNA from 1 species
ACAAGCCAGCGCCGUGGAGCUGUCUCUUUUUCAUUUCUCAGCCUCACUGGCCAUUCCAGUCCUCAAGAAAUAUUUGCUUGAUGUGACUUCUUGGAACCAAAUGUUGGUACCCAACUGAAAGGGAUGGAGCCCUCCGAACUUGGAAGUUCCGCUGAGGAUGAGGGCGGCCGCCAUUUUGAAACGAACAGACUCCAAAAGCACGCUCCACUGGGCCUGCCCCUGCGAUCUUAAAACAGAUGUCCGUGAAAUGUGACCCAUGAAUAGCAGUUAUCUGGAGAGAGAGCUCUGAAGCUGAUGAAACCAUUAGAGCCACUGAAGGCACCUGGUAAAUGCGAUGCGGGGAGUACAGAAGAGAGAAUCAGAAACACACCGGCACUCUCAUUCCCAUGAGGCCACUUACAGUGGGUAAAACGUCGCUUGAGAAGAGCGGCAGCUCCAGCCUGAAUGAGAAGCACGUCCUCCUGGGAGUUACGUCAGCAGCCUGACCUUCCAUCUUCCUCCUCUAAAGAAGCGUCCCUGCCACCCUGAGCACGAAGCCCUCGGGUUCCUAAAGGCCGAGGCGCUUCUUCUCAUUUACUUCCCUUGAGGAAGAAAGACCAGCCCAUCCACCCUCAUUUCCCACCGAAGGGCAUCGCAAAUAAAGUUUGCCCACGCAACCAGGCCACCACCAUUAAUUUCUCUCUGCCCUGCUCUUACAUUCUCCUCAAGGUUUUCAGUCCCCUAGAGAGGCUCCCUUCCCUCUUUUCUUUCCUUCCUCCAGCCCCCCUUUUCACCUCCCUCCACCAUUGUUUGAGGUUAAGAAGCAUGCUACGGUGUUCUAUAAAUCACUUGGCAAGAGUAGACGACAAAAGCAAAAUAUAAUUCAGAUUAAAGUCAUCCUCCCGCUGAAAUGAUAGUUUCUUAAAUAAAUGGCGAUGCUGCCUAUCAAUCUUGCUGGCAA